AGCAGCCGCGGUAAUUCCAGCUCCAAUAGCGUAUAUUAAAGUUGUUGCAGUUAAAAAGCUCGUAGUUGAAUUUCGGGGUUAGUACGCUGGUCAUGCCUUCGGUAUGUACUGGUGUUACCGAUUCCUACCUUCUGAAGAACCGUCAUGUCAUUAGUUUGGUGUGGCGGGGAAUCAGGACUGUUACUUUGAAAAAAUUAGAGUGUUUAAAGCAGGCUCGCGCUUGAAUACAUUAGCAUGGAAUAAUGAAAUAGGACGUUCGAUCCUAUUUUGUUGGUUUCUAGGAUUGACGUAAUGAUUAAUAGGGAUAGUUGGGGGCAUUAGUAUUCAAUUGUCAGAGGUGAAAUUCUUGGAUUUAUUGAAGACUAACUACUGCGAGAGCAUUUGCCAAGGAUGUUUUCAUUAAUCAAGAACGAAAGUUAGGGGAUCGAAGACCGAUCAGAUACCGUCAUAGUCUUAACCAUAAACUAUGCCGACUAGGGAUCGGAUGAUGUUAUUUUUAAUUGACUCAUUCGGCGCCG
rnacentral:rRNA from 1 species